AUUGAACGCUGGCGGCAUGCUUUACACAUGCAAGUCGAACGGUAACAGCACUUCGGUGGCUGACGAGCGGCGAACGGGUGAGUAAUACAUCGGAACGUGCCUAGUAGUGGGGGAUAACUACUCGAAAGAGUAGCUAAUACCGCAUGAGAUCUAAGGAUGAAAGCAGGGGACCUUCGGGCCUUGCGCUACUAGAGCGGCUGAUGGCAGAUUAGGUAGUUGGUGGGAUAAAAGCUUACCAAGCCGACGAUCUGUAGCUGGUCUGAGAGGACGACCAGCCACACUGGGACUGAGACACGGCCCAGACUCCUACGGAAGGCAGCAGUGGGGAAUUUUGGACAAUGGGCGCAAGCCUGAUCCAGCAAUGCCGCGUGCAGGAUGAAGGCCUUCGGGUUGUAAACUGCUUUUGUACGGAACGAAAAGCCCUCUUCUAAUACAGGAGGGUCAUGACGGUACCGUAAGAAUAAGCACCGGCUAACUACGUG
rnacentral:rRNA from 1 species